rnacentral:rRNA from 1 species
UACGGGGGGGGGCAAGCGUUGUUCGGAAUUACUGGGCGUAAAGGGCUCGUAGGUGGCCAACUAAGUCAGACGUGAAAUCCCUCGGCUUAACCGGGGAACUGCGUCUGACACUGGAUGGCUUGAGUUUGGGAGAGGGAUGCGGAAUUCCAGGUGUAGCGGUGAAAUGCGUAGAUAUCUGGAGGAACACCGGUGGCGAAGGCGGCAUCCUGGACCAACACUGACACUGAGGAGCGAAAGCCAGGGGAGCAAACGGG